UGGAGAAGGAUGAUCAUCUUUUAAGGCAAAAAAUCCUGCCUGUGUAGGAUUCUCAGAACUGUCUUUGAGCAAAAUCUACUUAUGCAUCUGGAAGUCUUGCCUAUUUUUAAAGUAAAACCAGGAAGACUUUCUCCUGCCUUCUUCUGUACGGAGAAGUGAAAUAAUCGGAAGGGGAGGAAACAGUCGUUGUCAAGAAAUGAACCACCUCUAAUCGUCUAAGGAAGCUCUGGAUUGAGAUUAGUAUCCACAGCAGAAAGGAAUCUACAGACACUACUGUGUGCGAG